GCUGCGGGCCGCCCGCCCGGACGCAAGGCACAGGGGGACGCCCCGCCGAGCCGCUGCCCACUGCACCGAGUUUUUCGGAGGCUGGGAGAGGAAAUGCCACUUGGAUUUUAAAACCGUCACCGAUACGCUAUAGCCCUGCUUUCUCUACCUCCAGUCGUUUUCUGAGGACCGGCUUGGUGGGUGCUGAUGCCUGCCUGGAAGACCUCACACCCACAGUGUCUUAGAAGAUUCUGAAAGCAGUGUGAGGGGGGACCUGGGCGCUCUGUAGCAUGCUUAGUCCCCCUGGCAGGGUUAGAGGUUAGUUGACCAGAGACAACGAGUCCAAUUCCCAAACAGACCAGAAUGACCAGCAAAGGAGAAAAGAACAAGGACACAUUGCAGCCAAAAUGGAGCUAGAAUCUUGCCUCUGUCCAUCCUUCACUGGAGUUAUCCUGGAUGGAGAAGGAACCAUAUCACCUGCAAAGCCUGGAAGGGGAGCCCUGCUGUGAGGUCUUUCUCAGGUGAGGCCCCAGGCUGUGACCAGGCCCCUGCCCUGCAUGUGACUCAGGCCUAGCCCCUGCUGGGGCAGGAAUGCCACCCAGCACAGCAUCCUACUGGUGCCUGAAUAAAGAAUGGACUGGAGGUUCACCUGAAAGGGGCUGCCAGGUUUCUGCGGGGGCCAGCCAACGGCUCACAAUGACCCUGUGUUCGACUCAUCUUACGAUGAAAUUUUUCAGCUUGACGAACUUUUACUCAUCUUUCAAGGCUCGGCUCAAAUGUUAUUUCCCUGGGAAAACUGCGCUACUUUCAGCAAAAUGCAUUUCCUUUUGAUGGGCAUCUGUUUUUUUCUUUCUUUCUUUCUUUCUUUUUUUUUUUUUUUUUUUUUUUUUUGAGACAGGGUCUUGCUCUCUUGUCCAGGCUGGAGUGCAGUGGUGCAAUCUUGGCUCACUGAACCUUCACAAUGGGCAUCUGUUUCUGUUCUAUGGAGUGACCUAAAAGUCAAGAAUCAUGGAGAAAUUGGGAGCAAUGGCUCACGCCUGUAAAUCCCAGCACUUUGGGAGGCUGAGGCAGGCGGAUCACUUGAGGCCAGGAGUUCGAGACCAGCCUGGCCAACAUGGUGAAACCCCGUCUCUACUAAAAAUACAAAAAAAAAAAAAUCUGUUAGCUGAGCACUGUGGCGUGCGCCUGUUAUCCCAGCUACUCGGGAGGUUGAGGCACAAGAAUUGCUUGAAGCUGGGAGGGGGAGGUUGCGGUGAGCCGAGAUCAAGCCACUGCACUCCAGCCUUGGUGACAGAGUGAAACUGUGUCUCAAAAAUUUUAAAAAAAAAAAAAUCAUGGGGAGAAUUUAUUGUUAAACAGAAUAUUAGUUACAUUUUCAAAUAAUACAGUCAAUAUGUUUUUCUGUAACCUUUAGAUAUGUUUUCAGGUGAAGUACCUCUAAAUGUAAAGAAAUGGGUCCAAUUGUUAAUUUUUUUUAAAGGUUCAAGAAAUACACUACUUUCUCUGGCUUUUUCCUUACAACUCUUUUUUUUUUUUUUUUUUUUUUGAGAUGAAGUCUUGCUCUGUCACCCAGGCUGGAGUGCAGUGGCAUGAUCUCAGCCCACUGCAACCUCCACCUCCCGGGUUCAAGCGAUUUUCCUGCCUCAGCCUCCUGAGUAGCUGGGAUUACAGGCACACGUCACCACACCCGGCUAAUUUUUGUAUUUUUAGUAGAGACAGGAUUUUGCCAUGUUGGCCAGGCUUGUCUCAAACUCCUGACUUCAGGUCAUCCGCCUGCCUUAGCCUCUCAAAGUGCUGGGAUUAUAGGCUUGAGCCACUGUGCCCUGGCCUCUUGUACCUUUUUUACAUUAACAACUGGACUCGCUUUAAAUGUAGAGAUACUUCCUGAAAUGGUGUGUGAAGGUUGAAGAAAAACAUGAGCAUAUUAUUUGAAAAUGUGGCUAAAGUUCUGUUUUAAAGUAAGUUUAUGGUAAUAUUUCUAACUUUUCAGAUGCUCUGUAGUUCUUGGCACAUUUUUCACUAAUAUUUGGUGACAGGUCUGUCCCCGUUAAAAAUUGAGAAUUCCACAAAGCCUGGGAUAUGUUUUAUUCUUCUUUGACUCUUCACUCCCCAGCUAACCACCAUGCAGUGGGCAAUCAUAAGGGUUUAAUGAAUGAAUAAAUGAUCAAGUCAGGUAGGUUUUCCCCGAAUUCUUGUCUUUGGGGCUGAACCCAGGGUAGGUUUCCUGGCAUCAUUCCUGUGUUUUCUACUCUCCCUCCCUAAUCCUCUGAAAGUUUGAACAAAAAUAAGAUUAUGGGCCAGGUGUGGUGGCUCACGCCUGUAAUCCCAGCACUUUGGGAGGCUGAGGUGGGAGGAUGGCUUGAGCCCAGGGGUUUGAGACUAGCCUGGGCAACAUGGCGAAAUCCCGUCUCUACAAAAAAUAGAAAAAUUAUCUGGGUGUGGUGGUGCGCACCUGUAGUCCCAGCUACUCGGGAAGCUGAGGUGGGAGGAUCACCUGAGCCCGAGGAGGUCCAGGCUGCAGUGAACCAAGAUCACAUCACUACACUCCAGCCUGAGUGACAGAGUGAGACCCUGUCUCAAAAAAUAAAAAUAAAAAUA
rnacentral:lncRNA from 1 species